rnacentral:rRNA from 1 species
UUUUCCGGUAAGGGAUGGGGAUGCGUCUGAUUAGCUUGUUGGCGGGGCAACGGCCCACCAAGGCGACGAUCAGUAGGGGUUCUGAGAGGAAGGUCCCCCACAUUGGAACUGAGACACGGUCCAAACUCCUACGGGAGGCAGCAGUGAGGAAUAUUGGUCAAUGGACGCAAGUCUGAACCAGCCAAGUAGCGUGCAGGAUGACGGCCCUAUGGGUUGUAAACUGCUUUUAUGUGGGAAUAAAGUGGCGCACGUGUGCGCCAUUGCAUGUACCUCAUGAAUAAGGACCGGCUAAUUCCGUGCCAGCAGCCGCGGUAAUACGGAAGGUCCGGGCGUUAUCCGGAUUUAUUGGGUUUAAAGGGAGUGUAGGCGGUCUGUUAAGCGUGUUGUGAAAUUUAGGUGCUCAACAUUUAACUUGCAGCGCGAACUGUCAGACUUGAGUACACGCAGCGCAGGCGGAAUUCAUGGUGUAGCGGUGAAAUGCUUAGAUAUCAUGAGGAACUCCGAUCGCGAAGGCAGCCUGCGGGAGUGUUACUGACGCUUAAGCUCGAAGGUGCGGGUAUCGAACAGGAUUAGAUACCCUGGUAGUCCGCACUGUAAACGAUGGAUGCCCGCCGUUGGCGCCCUGCGCCUGCGGCCAAGCGAAAGCAUUAAGCAUCCCACCUGGGGAGUACGCCGGCAACGGUGAAACUCAAAGGAAUUGACGGGGGCCCGCACAAGCGGAGGAACAUGUGGUUUAAUUCGAUGAUACGCGAGGAACCUUACCCGGGCUUGAAUUGCAGUCGCUGCCCACAGAGACGUGGGCUUCCCUUCGGGGCGUCUGUGAAGGUGCUGCAUGGUUGUCGUCAGCUCGUGCCGUGAGGUGUSGGMUUAWGUGCCAUAACGAGCGCAACCCCCUUUCCCAGUUGCCAUCGGGUUAUGCCGGGCACUCUGGGGACACUGCCACCGCAAGGUGCGAGGAAGGUGGGGAUGACGUCAAAUCAGCACGGCCCUUACGUCCGGGGCUACACACGUGUUACAAUGGCCGGUACAGAGGGACGGUGCAAUGCAAGUUGCAUCCAAUCUUGAAAUCCGGUCCCAGUUCGGACUGGGGUCUGCAACCCGACCCCACGAAGCUGGAUUCGCUAGUAAUCGCGCAUCAGCCAUGGCGCGGUGAAUACGUUCCCGGGCCUU